AGGUGUGAUCAUAUCAAUGUUAAUGCACUGAAUCCCAUCAGAACUCCAUAGUUAAGUGCACUUGGGAUAGAGUAGUACUGGGAUCGAUGACCUCCCAAGAAGUCUUAGUGUUGCACCCU
rnacentral:rRNA from 1 species